UACGAAGGGGGCUAGCGUUGCUCGGAAUGACUGGGCGUAAAGGGCGCGUAGGCGGUUUGGACAGUCAGAUGUGAAAUUCCUGGGCUCAACCUGGGGGCUGCAUUUGAUACGUUCGGACUAGAGUGGGGAAGAGGGUCGUGGAAUUCCCAGUGUAGAGGUGAAAUUCGUAGAUAUCGAGAGGAACACCGGUGGCGAAGGCGGCCAACUGGACGAAUACUGACGCUGAGACUCGAAAGCGUGGGGAGCAAACAGG
rnacentral:rRNA from 1 species